rnacentral:misc_RNA from 1 species
CGAAUGGGUCUGAAGACUCUUAAAACCUACCGUGCUCCCCUACGUGGAAAUCAGGAAAGCCCCUCCGGGGCAUAGGAAAUCUGAGAAGUUGAAGAACUGCGCCGCCUCGGCGCGCAUGACUAAACAAAAAAUUA